rnacentral:lncRNA from 1 species
GACAGAUUAAAAGCUGCUAUACACUUUGGAACUGGAAACUGAGCUCCCAAUGUAAAGGAGAUAAGCCAUCAUGCUUACAAUAUGUUGUGCAGAGCUCACUGGUGGGCAGUUUUUCUUAACAAUGCAUCAGGACUUUUGUUAUUUGUAAAGGAAGCUUAAAGGAAGCUGAGAGUGCUGAGGGCACAUCUGAAACCACUGGAGGUUGGCGACAUAUAGGUCAGGACAGAUGCAUGGCCAGCCUCAGGUUGCUAAACGUUAGGGUGCUCUGCCUUCCUUCUGGGGCGGUG